CAGAGGGGGCAAGCGUUGUUCGGAAUUACUGGGCGUAAAGGGCGCGUAGGCGGCCUGUUAAGUCGAACGUGAAAUCCCCGGGCUCAACCCGGGAACUGCGUCCGAAACUGGCAGGCUCGAAUUCGGGAGAGGGAUGCGGAAUUCCAGGUGUAGCGGUGAAAUGCGUAGAUAUCUGGAGGAACAUCGGUGGCGAAGGCGGCAUCCUGGACCGAUAUUGACGCUGAGGCGCGAAAGCCAGGGGAGCAAACGGGAUUAGAUACCCCGGUAGUCCUGGCCCUAAACGAUGAAUGCUUGGUGUGGCGGGUAUCGAUCCCUGCCGUGCCGAAGCUAACGCAUUAAGCAUUCCGCCUGGGGAGUACGGUCGCAAGGCUG
rnacentral:rRNA from 1 species